GCCAGGCAUGGUGGCGCAUACCUGUAAUCCCAGAGGCUUGGGAGGCUGAGGCAGGAGGAUUGUGAGUUCAAAGCUAGCCUCAGCAAAAGUGAAGUGCUAAAGAACUCAGUGAGACGCUGUCUCUU
rnacentral:sRNA from 1 species